rnacentral:rRNA from 1 species
AACGAACGCUGGCGGCGCGCCUAAUACAUGCAAGUCGAGCGAGAAGACGUAGCAAUACGUUUGUAAAGCGGCGAACGGGUGAGGAAUACAUGGGUAACCUACCCUCGAGUGGGGAAGUAACUAGCCGAAAGGUUAGCUAAUACCGCGUACGCUCCUUGGACUUCGGUUCAGGGAGGGAAAGACGAUACCGUGGGUAUCGCGCUCUUGGAUGGGCGUCAUGUCCUAUCAGCUUGUUGGUGAGGAACGGCUCACCAAGGCUUCGACGGGUAGCUGGUCUGAGAGGACGAUCAGCCACACUGGGACUGAGACACGGCCCAGACUCCUACGGGAGGCAGCAGUGGGGAAUCUUGCGCAAUGCGCGAAAGCGUGACGCAGCAACGCCGCGU